CUUCAACAAAAUUGCAAAUGCAAAAUUUUUGUGUAGGGUGGUCUUGUUGAAGCUGAUGAAUCCUCCUUUUCUUUCGGAGGGAGGGAGAGCUCCAAAAAUCUACCAAGCGGAGCCAAUAUUCAGAAGUUGACAAUAUUUUCAUAUGUACAAGAGGCUAAUGCACCUGUAUCAUGUAGAGAAGAAAGGAUGUUCUCCUCCAAAGAAUGUCAAAUAAUGCAGCUGGCCUGGUGGUUGCAGAUGCACAAAGCUCAUCUGAGAUGCAUGAAUCAGAUUCGCCUGCUGCAGCUGCUGGUCUGCUGCUGCCGCCCUUGUGGUUGAUGCUUGCUGGGCGGCUGCUGCUGCUGCUGCUGCAAUGUUGCUGUGAAGCGGCUGCUACUAGAUGUUGGUUUGCUGGAUAAGUUUGUGGAUACUUUUCGUGUCGUUUUGCCUGUCUUUGUUAGUUUCAUGUUUUCAUUGUGUUAUCUGUUGUUUGUAAUGUGGGUUCACAAUUUGGAUGUAUUUGGGUAUUUUAGUGAGUUUACCCUUUUAGGUUUUAUACACUACUUCUAAAAGCAGUAUCAGCGGUGUUUUUUUUUUGCUUGCACAUCAACUUUAGGUAAUUUUAUAUCAAUGUUAUUAGUUUGUAAUAGUGGUGCCUGAGGAAUGUCUCUUGUAAAUCUAUAAAUCUUAUAAAAAUAUAUAAAUUAUUUUCAAUUA